CUGGUUUUGAAUUUGGGAAUUAGUGGGUGGAGCUACGUAGCAAAAGCAAUUUAUUUGAUAUUAAUUAUCAAAUUUCUUAAUGAAAAUUCUGCUUUUGCAUUUUUCAAAACGAUGUCAAAAGCGCAUUGAUUAUUGCCUCUAUGACUCUCCAUAGAAGUUAGUGAUUUCAUAAUGUGUGAUCAUAUAUAUAUCAUUUGAUCUUUUUUUAUUUUAAUUGAACUCGCAAACUAGUCUAGAAAAAUAAAAAAUAAAAUAAAAAUGGAUACAAUGAAUUUAGAUAGGCAAAAAGGUUGUAACUUUUGAGGAAUUCUCUCUUUUUUAGCAGCUAGACAUAGCCAUGACACUGGCCAGAAAAAAAACUCACAUUGACUAUUGACCCAAUUUUUUGAUAUUAAUAUCUUGUUUCUUUUCUAAAGUUUAAGUCUUUAAUUAUUCUUGAUGGGGUUUUUUCUUUAUUGGAAAAUACACAACAGCAGCAGAUCAAGAAAUGUAAAGUUUCCAGUUUUGAGAGUAAUAAGUAUAUUAUCUCUGAUGGAGAGGACGGACAUGGAUUUGGAAGAGGGCAAGGAAGAAAAUUAGUAAAGAAUGGAACUUUGAAUAUUUCUAUCAAUGGAAGUUGAAAAAGUUCCACUUACAGGUUAGGAGUUUCUUCAAAUUGGGAGCU